AAGUCGUAACAAGGUUUCCGUAGGUGAACCUGCGGAAGGAUCAUUACAAAUCCACGUCUCUCUCUUGAGACAAGUUGAAAUGCAUUCAGAAGAAUAAAAAGAAGAAUUCUCCACAUGUGAAGACUUCUUCAUUUCUUCUAGCACAAUUUCACAUACGUUGAUCAGUCGUAUACAUUACUAGUUAUUCACAACUUAUAACAAUGGAUCUCUAGGCUCUU
rnacentral:misc_RNA from 1 species